CCUACGGGAGGCAGCAGUGGGGAAUAUUGGGCAAUGGGCGCAAGCCUGACCCAGCAACGCCGCGUGAAGGAAGAAGGCUUUCGGGUUGUAAACUUCUUUUAAGAGGGAAGAGUAGAAGACGAUACCUCUUGAAUAAGCCACGGCUAACUACGUGACAGCAGCCGCGGUAAUACGUAGGUGGCAUGCGUUGUCCGGAAUUACUGGGUGUAAAGGGCGUGUAGCGGGGUCGGCAAGUCAGAUGUGAAAUCCCAAGGCUCAACCUUUGAACUGCAUUUGAAACUGUUGUUCUGGAGUAUCGGAGAGGCAGGCGGAAUUCCGAGUGUAGCGGGGAAAUGCGUAGAUAUUAGGAGGAACACCAGUGGCGAAGGCGGCCUGCUGGACGACAACUGACGGUGAGGCGCGAAAGCGUUGGGAGCAAACAGGAUUAGAUACCCGGGUAGUC
rnacentral:rRNA from 1 species